AGGAAUAUGGAAGCUUGGAUGAGACCCCAUGCGUAAUUACAGCUUGGAGCAAAUAUGCCCAAGACAUCUGUUGGACCAGGACAUGGACUCUGCCCAGUAAAUUCCUGCUUGUCAACAAAGUUAAAGCCUUGACCAACCUGAACACCUAUGGGAUGAUGGUCAUGCAUGAAUUCUCCACCAUCUUCAAGCUGAAACUGCAGGACUACACUGCUGCCCUUAGCAAUGUUUCCCAGUCUGUCACAUGGCAGCAAGCAAUGCACCCCAGCUUGGCAGUGCAGUGAGGAGGGACACACCCCAGACUGGCAAUGUUGCAAACAGAGGAACAAGACAAUGAAGAGGAAGACCUUUGCCAUAGCAGUCCAAAUGCCUAGUGUACCAAGCCUAGACCCAACCAGAUUCUCCAGAACUGUCUGCCAGUAAACAGUGGUCUGGCUACCACCCUCAGAGGCCCAUUGGUCCUGGAGCUGUAUAACCACAUCAUGGAAGUUGGAGGUCUCAGGAACCCAGCAGUUAGAGAGGACGUGUUUUGCGCUGAAAUAACUAAUGACAAUUCUGCUGUAGCUUGGACUGAAAGCUGUGCUACAUUGAGCAUUUACCAUUAUUGUUAUAACCAGAUUGUAACCAGAUUCAAUGAUAAAAUAAUUUAGUUUUUAUACUUAACUUUUAUUUAUUUAUUUAUUUUCUAUCUCACCUGGUCCUUAUUUGUGUUAAUUCUAAUCUCUAUUUUUGUCUCUAUUUUUAUGAACUGGGACACUCUGAAUACUCUUUAACCCCACUAAGUGAUUGAUUACCAUUAUUUAUGACAAUCAUGGAAACUAACUGGAUAGCUUUUUUAUUUUCAUAAAGUUUAAAUAUUUCAUGAUGUUAAUGUGGUCAUUCUUUCUGACUUUGUCUAAUUUCUACAUUAAUUUUAUUCACCGUUUUAUGGAAUGAUAAUAAAACAUCUUUGAACCUAAAGUAACCUCAGUGAUCUUUCUGUGUUGGUAACACACUACCAUCUUAAAGGUCUUAAAAAGCUAUUUUUUUCAUCCCCAUGUUAAUUUAUGUGUCACAUGUUGAUAUUUAUUUACAAUAAUAAGUGUAACUCUACCAUUGUUACAGUCACCGUCUGUCUCACCUUCCCCGGACUCCAUUUCCCAGCAUCCCUCUGGUUCCUCACCUCCGAUCUCUCACCAAUCACAUGGGCCUGCAAGCCAUCACCAUUGUUAACACUCGUCAGCACACCCCUACAUAAGCCCCAUGUUCACUCCACCACAUUGUCUGAUCUCGUCAAUGGAAAGUACUGUCUCAUGUACAUGGACUCCUUGCCUGUUACUCACCUGAGAAUCCUGUAUCCUCUCCCAUUCGUCUUCCAUCAUCUGUUCUCCAUUCCCUGUGGAUCCUUCACCUACAAAGACAUAAUCUGUUACACUCCAGCUAAGUGACUGUUCCAAAGUGCUUGUUCAUUCACUCACUUGCAUUCUCCAGCUUCCAUUG